rnacentral:pre_miRNA from 1 species
AGGAGGAACAGCCCCAGUGGCGGGGCAGCUCUGGACACCUGGAUUCAGCUCCAGGAACUCCGUCGGCAGGGCCUGGAGGCUCCGGGCGGGG